AGUUAGCAUGGAAUAAUGGAAUAAGGACGUGUGGUUCUAUUUUGUUGGUUUCUAGGACCGCCGUAAUGAUUAAUAGGGAUAGUCGGGGGCAUCAGUAUUCAAUUGUCAGAGGUGAAAUUCUUGGAUUUAUUGAAGACUAACUACUGCGAAAGCAUUUGCCAAGGAUGUUUUCUAUUAAUCAGUGAACGAAAGUUAAGGGGAGUCGAAGACGAUCAGAUACCGUCGUAGUCUUAACCAUAAGCUAUGCCGACUAGGGAUCGGGCGAUGUUAUCUUUUUGACUCGCUCGGCACCUUACGAGAAAUCAAAGUCUUUGGGUUCUGGGGGGGAGUAUGGUCGCAAGGCUGAAACUUAAAGAAAUUGACGGAAGGGCACCACCAGGAGUGGAGCCUGCGGCUUAAUUUGACUCAACACGG
rnacentral:rRNA from 1 species